rnacentral:rRNA from 1 species
GAUGAACGCUGGCGGCGUGCCUAAUACAUGCAAGUCGAGCGAACGGACGAGAAGCUUGCUUCUCUGAUGUUAGCGGCGGACGGGUGAGUAACACGUGGAUAACCUACCUAUAAGACUGGGAUAACUUCGGGAAACCGGAGCUAAUACCGGAUGAUAUUUUGAACCGCAUGGUUCAAAAGUGAAAGACGGUCUUGCUGUCACUUAUAGAUGGAUCCGCGCUGCAUUAGCUAGUUGGUAAGGUAACGGCUUACCAAGGCAACGAUGCAUAGCCGACCUGAGAGGGGGAUCGGCCACCCUGGAACUGAGACACGGUCCAGACUCCUACGGGAGGCAGCAGUAGGGAAUCUUCCGCAAUGGGCGAAAGCCUGACGGAGCAACGCCGCGUGAGUGAUGAAGGUCUUCGGAUCGUAAAACUCUGUUAUUAGGGAAGAACAUAUGUGUAAGUAACUGUGCACAUCGUGACGGUACCUAAUCAGAAAGCCACGGCUAACUACGUG